rnacentral:rRNA from 1 species
AAUCAACGCUGGCGGCGUGCCUCAGACAUGCAAGUCGAACGAUUAAACUUUCCUUCGGGAAAGAUAUAAAGUGGCGCACGGGUGAGUAACACGUAAGUAAUCUACCCUCGAGUGGGGAAUAACGUUCGGAACGGACGCUAAUACCGCAUAAUGCAGCGGCACCGCAAGGUGACAGUUGUUAAAGAUUUAUCGCUUGAGGAGGAGCUUGCGGCAGAUUAGCUAGUUGGUAAGGUAACGGCUACCAAGGCUACGAUCUGUAACCGGUCUAAGAGGACGGUCGGUCACACUGACACUGAAUAACGGGUCAGACUCCUACGGGAGGCAGCAGUC